CACGUAGGCACCAAGCGUUGUCCGGAUUUAUUGGGCGUAAAGAGCUCGUAGGCGGUUCAGUAAGUCGGGUGUGAAAACUCUGGGCUUAACCCAGAGCCGCCACUCGAUACUGCUGUGACUUGAGUUCGGUAGGGGAGCAGGGAAUUCCGUAGUGUAGCGGUGAAAUGCGCAGAGUAUUAGGAGGAACACCGGUGGCGGAAGGCGCGUGCUCUGGGCCGAUACUGCGCUGAGGAGCGAAAGCGUGGGUAGCAAACAGG
rnacentral:rRNA from 1 species